rnacentral:lncRNA from 1 species
CAAAAGGAAAAAGCAAGGCUGUGGGAAAGAAAGCUCCGUCGUCUUAGCCACGGCCCCAACGACCUGCCUCCCAUGAGGCUUUGUGCAGGCUGGCUAAUGCGCAAGCGAGCUUGGCAGAGCUGGCCGACAAUCCUCGUGUCCUCGGUGCUGCACUGCUCCAGUAGUUACAGAAAUUAGCCACAUCGACAAUCACCCACUGCCUGCUAUCAGAGCCGCGCUAUCCACUGCACAAACAGCAACUGCAGACACCAUCAGGUGUUACUUGCACAGUGAAAUGCAGAUCCUGUGGGACUGCAUGUACCGUCAAGCAUGUGUACUGAUCGAACAUCACAGGAUGCCUGUCUACUAGCUGCCUCGACCUUUAGCCUCUAUUUUGGUGUUGGAGACAAGCCAAAUAGGACUCGAAGGUCCUGCAGCUGCUUCGGCUUGUUCUUGGAGGAAGUACCUGGCCAACAGACUCUGAUCACACGUCCGAAGAAACGGACUCCUCGCCUUGCUUUGAGACGACAAGUCCCAUGCACACGAAAGACAGUUAUGGCGAUGCUGAGAAAGAGGUGA